GAUCCUGGCUCAGGACGAACGCUGGCGGCGUGCCUAAUACAUGCAAGUUGAACGCUUGAUUGUCACCGAAGCUUGCUUCACCGACAAACAAGAGUAGCGAACGGGUGAGUAACGCGUGGGUAACCUACCUUAUAGCGGGGGAUAACUAUUGGAAACGAUAGCUAAUACCGCAUAACAAUGGAGAUUGCAUAAUUUCUAUUUAAAAGUAUCUGUUGGUACACUAUGAGAUGGACCCGCGUUGUAUUAG
rnacentral:rRNA from 1 species